rnacentral:tRNA from 4 species
CACCGCCCUGUCAAGGCGGAAGCUGCGGGUUCGAGCCCCGUCAGUCCCG